rnacentral:lncRNA from 1 species
GGUGGCCGGCUGACUGGAUGAAUGGAUGAAUGGAUGGAUGCAUGGAUGGAUACAUGGAUGAAUGGUGGAUGGAUGGGUGGAUUCAUGGAUGGAUGGAUGAAUGGCUUGGUGGAUGGAUGGAUGGAUGGAUACAUGGAUGAAUGGUGAAUGGAUGGGUGGAUGGAUGAAUGGAUGCAUGGAUGAAUGAAUGGGUGGAUGGCUAAAUAGUUGAAGGAUACAUGAAUAGAUAAAAUAUGCCACCCCAGAAUACGAAGAAUUGUUGAAUUGAAUCCAACUGGGAAGAAGCAAAUACAGGA